UACAGAGGGUGCGAGCGUUGCUCGGAAUCACUGGGCGUAAAGCGCACGUAGGCGGAUCUUUAAGUCAGGGGUGAAAUCCUGGAGCUCAACUCCAGAACUGCCUUUGAUACUGGGGAUCUCGAGUCCGGGAGAGGUGAGUGGAACUCCGAGUGUAGAGGUGAAAUUCGUAGAUAUUCGGAAGAACACCAGUGGCGAAGGCGGCUCACUGGCCCGGUACUGACGCUGAGGUGCGAAAGCGUGGGGAGCAAACAGG
rnacentral:rRNA from 1 species